rnacentral:rRNA from 1 species
UAGGGAAUCUUCGGCAAUGGGGGCAACCCUGACCGAGCAACGCCGCGUGAGUGAAGAAGGUUUUCGGAUCGUAAAGCUCUGUUGUAAGUCAAGAACGGGUGUGAGAGUGGAAAGUUCACACUGUGACGGUAGCUUACCAGAAAGGGACGGCUAACUACGUGCCAGCAGCCGCGGUAAUACGUAGGUCCCGAGCGUUGUCCGGAUUUAUUGGG